rnacentral:rRNA from 1 species
GGAUCAUGAAGGUAGUUCAUCCUUAUUGGAUUGAAUGGGCUGCUAAUUGGUUCCUGGAAAUAGCCCUCCUAUAAGAUCGUACCCUAAACCGACACAGGUGGGUAGGUAGAGUAUACUAAGGGGCGCGAGAUAACUCUCUCUAAGGAACUCGGCAAAAUGACUCCGUAACUUCGGGAGAAGGAGUGCCUUAUUUAUAAGGUUGCAAUAACAAGAUCCAAGCAACUGUUUAUCAAAAACACAGGUCUCCGCUAAGUCGUAAGACGAUGUAUGGGGGCUGACGCCUGCCCAGUGCCAGAAGGUUAAAGAAGUUGGUUAGUGUAUGCGAAGCUGAUGACUGAAGCCCUGGUGAACGGCGGCCGUAACAAUAACGGUCCUAAGGUAGCGAAAUUCCUUGUCGGGUAAGUUCCGACCCGCACGAAAGGCGUAAUGAUUUGGAUACUGUCUCGGAGAGAGGCUCGGUGAAAUAGACUUGUCUGUGAAGAUGCGGACUACCUGCACCAGGACAGAAAGACCCUAUGAAGCUUUACUGUAACUUGAAAUUGGAAUUGGACUUUGCUUGCGCAGUAUAGGUGGGAAGCGUUGAAGAUAUUCUUGCGGGAGUAUUGGAGCUAUCAGUGAGAUACCACUCUUGUAAUGUUAGAUUUCUAACUUUGAACCAUAAUCUGGUCAAAGAACAGUUUCAGGUGGGCAGUUUGACUGGGGCGGUCGCCUCCCAAAUGGUAACGGAGGCGUACAAAGGUUUCCUCUGAACGGAUAGAAAUCGUAUCUAGAGUGUAAAGGCAUAAGGAAGCUUGACUGUGAGACCUACAAGUCGAGCAGGGACGAAAGUCGGUCUUAGUGAUCUGACGGUACUGAGUGGAAAGGCCGUCACUCAACGGAUAAAAGUUACUCUAAGGAUAACAGGCUGAUCUCCCCCAAGAGUUCACAUCGACGGGGAGGUUUGGCACCUCGAUGUCGGCUCAUCGCAUCCUGGGGCGGUAGUACGUCCCAAGGGUUGGGCUGUUCGCCCAUGAAAGCGGUACGCGAGCUGGGUUCAGAACGUCGUGAGACAGUUCGGUCCAUAUCCGGUGUAGGCGUUAGAAUAUUGAGAGGAGCCUUCUUUAGUACGAGAGGACCGAGAAGGACACACCGCUGGUGUACCAGUUAUCGUGCCAACGGUAAACGCUGGGUAGCUAUGUGUGGAGUGGAUAACCGCUGAAAGCAUCUAAGUGGGAAGCCCACCUCAAGAUGAGUAUUCUCAUC